CACAUACACACUCAGAGUGCCUGGGCAGC
rnacentral:piRNA from 1 species